rnacentral:lncRNA from 1 species
GGUAAUGAUCAUUUCAGCAGUUAAACUGAAUCUGUAGCACCUGUGCAUCUUCUUGGGCAAAGCAGAAGUGGCUUCAGUUGUCAGGAAUUGAAUGUAUUUGACUUUCCUCCUCCUGAAGAAUGUGUAGGAUGCAACACAGCUUUUUAUAGUUUUUGAUCCAUGUCAUAAAUUUGGCCAUGACAAAGGGAUACUCCAGCUUUAGCUCACUGGCAGGAACAUUAGCUGUUUCCCAACACUAAAA